UACGUAGGAUCCAAGCGUUGUCCGGAUUUACUGGGUGUAAAGGGUGCGCAGGCGGUUUUGUGCGUCAGAGGUUAAAUACUUCGGCUUAACCGGAGAAAUGCCUUUGAUACGGCAAGACUUGAGUACAAGAGAGGAUGGUGGAAUUCCUGGUGUAGCAGUGAAAUGCGUAGAUAUCAGGAGGAACACCUGUGGUGAAGACGGCCAUCUGGCUUGUAACUGACGCUCAGGCACGAAAGCGUGGGGAG
rnacentral:rRNA from 1 species